AAUGCCUCGCGCUCGUGGAGCUCCACCACGGCAGCGUGGAGACCGCGCACGGACGGAAUCAGGUCACUCGCCACGGCAACCCCCCCCAUCACCACCGACGGACGGCUGGGCUUAGGACCUCGCCGACUCGCCACGGCAACAGCUCUGCCCGCCCGGUAACGGCUGGCAUGGGCACGGCGUCAUCCAGCGGAGCAGGCAGGGGGAUCUAAAGGGGGCGGUGGCGUCCUGACGAGAUUGAAGUCAAGUGAAGCGAGAACACGGGUUUGACAUACUGAAGGAGGGGGCGGUACCCCCCCGGCCCGCCCCUCCCAGCUCCAACACCCAGAAUCCCAUCUCUAGGCACCGCCGGAGGAUGACAGCAGACGUCCUGCCUGCCACUUGCGGGGACUCCUUGUGCUCUCUGGACCAGCAGUCCGCACCAGCAUGUCCGAUGCCAUGCUCCUCCUGAUGCUGGGCCAGGCUGGUGUGAGAAGGCGAUUUUUGACUUGCCCAAUGAAAAUGGUAGGAAGUACCAUCAGCAGAGCUGAGAAAGGAGACCAAGACAAGGAGAGCAAAGAGGAAUCCAUUCUGGCCUUGCUGGGCAUAAUCGGGACCAUCCUCAAUUUAAUAGUCAUCAUCUUCGUGUACAUCUACACGACACUGUGAAGAACAAAAGAACAAGUCCCGCCGUGGACAGGAGGCCAGUAUCUGUGGGUCUUCGCUCCCAACUGAGGCUUUGCUGGGCUGUGUGAUGGCUUCUCUCCUUCCUGCCAAAAGCUUUUGGUGGUGAGAACUUCAAUCAAACCGCAAGGCUUUUAAACUUCAAGUCUGCUCAACUUUGACUUCCGCCGUCUUCCCAAGAUAUUGUGUAAGGCUCUCACUAGCACCCUGAAAACAUGCAUGCAUCACUGCAUCCUAAGAAACAUGAAGAGCUUGCACCUCCCACCUCUGCAGACAUCCAGUCUCCACGCCUAAAACGCAGCCAUUUAAAAAUAUGAGUAUGAUGACUGGUGGGGGAAAAAAAACCUGAAAAGAACAGAACAUGCCAUUCACCUUCUCAUAUAGGUACUUUGAAAAUAUUGUGCAGCAUUUAUACAAAAACUUUGAUAUUUUAAAGUUGUCUGUUUAAUAUGAAAACUACAGAAUACUUCAUCAUGGCUGUGCUUUUUGUCAUAGUCAGCGUGGUCCAAUCAUUAAGUCAUUUUUUUUAAAACUAUAUAUUCCUUGAUUCCCUGUUUGCUACUCUUUGAAUAUGUGUGUGUAAUUUCUUAAAGCAAUUCUAGCAUUUAAAAAAAAUGUGUCUGGCAGUGACUAAUUAUUUAUAGCUGUUGUUUAAUUAAUAUUGUAUUGCCUUAAAACAGAUCAAAUCUGACAUCAUUGUAUUGUACAUAACUCACGAAAAAAUCCAUUCAGCAAAUGUUUGAUAAUGCAAUAAUAUAAAUAAAUAUGUAUCACAAACGCAUACCAUAUAGUUUUUCAUAUAGAGGCUAAAUAUUAAUGGUAGUUUGUGACAUACUGAAAACUGACUAAACUAAUCCAUCAUUUUGAAAUUAAUAAAUACUUCUAAUAAUUUUCAUAAUUUUCUGAAGCACAGUACAGAAGGCAUGCUUACUCUUUUCGCGCAUGUGAGAAUCUAACAUGUCUGUUAAAAGUGCCUGUCCAUAAUAAUCCUCUGGAUAUUUUUUUCCUUGCUUGUUUUGUUGACAGCUCAAUGGAUUAUAGAAUAUUUCAGAUGCACAGAGCUGUGAUAAGAAUCCACAAGGAUUUUUCGGCAUGAAUAGAGGGAACUGAGGCCGUGCUUUCAUUACAUUCGUAAUUAGCACAGCAAAUGCCUGUGUUCUCAGUAAGGUGCCUCGCCUGCACUGAGCAAACUGUGUCACCGAGGUGAUUUUCAGGCCUCCUGAUGACAAUUUGAAUCAUUUCCACAUGCAGUUUAUGAAACAUAUCUCCCUGGAAAUGAGACAGUCUUCCACCGUACUGUCAUUCUAUCUGAAACACCGCAAGAAUAGAGAUGUACAAGCAAUUCACAGGGGCAAAAUAAUGUAGACACUGCAAUAUAAAGCAAGCAAACAAACAAAUUAGGAAACACUGGGUUACAAACUAAAUUUAAAUAAUUACUUUGGAAGAUCGUGUGAAGAGUGACUACCAACAACUGAACUAUAUUUGAGCUCUGUCAUGUAUAUUAAAUUUGAAUUUAAAUUUUGCACAAUUUAUUUUUUAUAGCUCUCUACCCAGUACAAUCACCCCAGGAUACUUAUCAAGCUUUUUAACAACAUUAAUUCAAUUAAAAUUUGAACAUGAUUAGAACAUUCGGACAUCAGUCGCCAAACUAUUCUGGGCAUGGCAUGAAGUCAUAAAAGGCUUGCGUGAGCAACAAUUGUCAGUAAAGAAGUGAACAUCUGGUCAGGUCCUAUGCGAGGCCAGGCAACCAUGCAGAGGGACAAGACACUGGUGUCCCAUCAAUCAACUUUACAUUAAGUGUAGUUUACUGCUCUUCAGAAUUAAAAAAUCUACGGAGUUUGCUCUCUAUCACUGAAAAGAGCCAGACCAUGAACACAAUACCUUAACACCUGUGGUUUUGCUUUGCAGUUGAGGGUGAUGUUGAGAGUCUGCAGCGAUGACACAGAUGUUGACUACGGCCGAGCAUGUGAUCUCUUCCUCUUUACCUCAUUAAUAAUGCAUUAGGAAGCAAAACAAGCUGGUGGAAAUUUUCUCCCCAAGAAUACAGGAGGGGAAAUGUUAAUACAAAUAAAUCAAGCACAAUAUUUCUCAUUAUUUGAUUGUUUAAUUUUAUUGACAAAAAAAGAAAGAAAGAAAAAAAAAAACAUUUUACUCAGAGCUACAGAGGGAGUAUCCUUGGUUAAAUCUGUUGCUUGAUACAAUAACUUUAAUAUAAAAUUCUCCCACACUGUCUUUAUAAUGUAAUGUUCUCUUACACUAUCAUUUUAAUAUAACGUUCUUCCACACUAUCUCGACAUUUUUAAUAUAACGUUCUCCUGCACUGACUAUCCUUUUAAUAAAAUGUUCUCCCACACUCUAUCCAUUUAGUGUAACAGUUUGCCAUGCCAUACUAAAUACAAAUGUCAUUUUAUACAGUUCAUGUUCUGAUUAUAACUGUGACAAUAAAUACUGUAUAGCGUGUCAUUUUUGGGGGGUGGAACUGAAGUCUGUGUAAUAAAGGUGAGGGUUGCAAUUUUCUUGCUUGAACUUUAUGCUGUUGCUUGCAAAAUAUGCAUUACUUUUCAAUAAGGAGUUACUGUACACUAAUGUUGUGAAGUUCUUCAUUUAUAAUAGGCACUCUUUCUAGCUUUUCCAUUUUUUUUAUGAAUGCCUCAUUCUUAUCUAAAAAUUGGAAUUUCUGUUGAAACUACAUUAAAAAUCCAAAACCAUAAA